rnacentral:rRNA from 1 species
GUCGAGCGGUAGAGAGAAGCUUGCUUCUCUUGAGAGCGGCGGACGGGUGAGUAAUGCCUAGGAAUCUGCCUGGUAGUGGGGGAUAACGUUCGGAAACGGACGCUAAUACCGCAUACGUCCUACGGGAGAAAGCAGGGGACCUUCGGGCCUUGCGCUAUCAGAUGAGCCUAGGUCGGAUUAGCUAGUUGGUGGGGUAAUGGCUCACCAAGGCGACGAUCCGUAACUGGUCUGAGAGGAUGAUCAGUCACACUGGAACUGAGACACGGUCCAGACUCCUACGGGAGGCAGCAGUGGGGAAUAUUGGACAAUGGGCGAAAGCCUGAUCCAGCCAUGCCGCGUGUGUGAAGAAGGUCUUCGGAUUGUAAAGCACUUUAAGUUGGGAGGAAGGGCAGUAAAUUAAUACUUUGCUGUUUUGACGUUACCGAGAGAAUAAGCACCGGCUAACUCUGUGCCAGCAGCCGCGGUAAUACAGAGGGUGCAAGCGUUAAUCGGAAUUACUGGGCGUAAAGCGCGCGUAGGUGGUUAGUUAAGUUGGAUGUGAAAUCCCCGGGCUCAACCUGGGAACUGCAUUCAAAACUGACUGACUAGAGUAUGGUAGAGGGUGGUGGAAUUUCCUGUGUAGCGGUGAAAU